GAACCUUUUCUAUAAACAUAAUUUAUGAUACAAAUCAUUCAAAGUAUUUCACUAAACAUGAAUCCUACCUAAAUAAUUUCCAGACCGUAGAAUCCGGUUUGGAAUCAUCAUCUUCCACCUCAUAUACCACUUGUAAACCCCCUAAACUUAUCCUCUAACCAUUUCAUGGCUCUAACCCAUUAGAAUGGAUUUUCCCAGUAGGCCAGUACUUCAACCAUUAUUCUAUCGAACACCUAAUCGCUUCUCUCGCAUCUCAA
rnacentral:lncRNA from 1 species